rnacentral:lncRNA from 1 species
GAUUUUGGCCGUGUGGCUUCCAAUCAGGCACAGCUGUAGAGUGUUGUUGCAGAUUGGGAGUCACACAUAAGGAGCAUGUUUUUCCUUUGGGUUUUGUGGGUAAUUGUUUCUGUUAAGUGUUUUGCACCUGACAGGACUGUUUGGCUGUCCGUUUUCUCAUUUUGUUUUGUGUAGUGUUCUUUAUUAAAUUAAAAUCAUGAUGAACACUAACUCCGCUGCGUAUUGGUCCACUUUCUCAGACGAUGACUUCCCUGUUUCAUCUGAUGACGAAGACAGCCGUUACAACAAGAAGAUAAAACCAUGUGGUGCCCAAGCUUCUUCCUGCAGUGUAUUCUAGAUACAGAAACACACUUCCUUUGCCUGCAUGUGUCAUUGUAGCAGAACUGUAUCCCGUGAACUGUAUCCUUCUCGAGGGAUUAGACAUUAGGCUGGAUUUCAAGCAGAUGUCUCUCGAGUAGCUGAAUGGCAGUUGGAUCAUGACAACACUCCUCCCACAGCUUUACAAGUAUUCCCUGAACUUUCUGUAUGUUUUGUUGGAAUGGCAAUUUCAUCAUGACCACCUCUCCCAUCAUCUGCUGAUCACCAGUUCUCUUAGCUACAGAUUGGUUAAAUCACAAUAUCUGGAGUAUCACAGAAUUGUUAUCCAUUACUGGUAACUUGGUAACUUAGCUAGCGACCGGUAGCCAUAUCUAUGACUAAAGGGGUUUUAAAAUCAGCGCUCUUCUCAUCUUUGUUUACUUGUUUUAGUUACUAAACAGCAAGCUACAAUGUUACUACCAGCCACCUAAAGCUAGGUUUACCAGCAAACCUUAGCAUGUGACUGGUGUUGGCUAGCUAGUAUGCCUUGUACCUGCUAACUUAUGUAAUGUAAUUGACGAGGGUUAACAUUGAAAUGCAUCCAUGGUCAUAAUCAUAACCAAUCUCUCAAAAUUAUAGGCAUGAUGCAAGAUAGGAUUCCAAACAGACAAUAUUUUGCCUGGGCUUCAUCCUUGAGUGGAUUCUAGAUACAGAAACAUAAUUCCUUUGCCUGCACAUGCCUUUGUAGCAGAACUGUAUCCCCUGAACUGUAUUAGACAUUAGGCUGGAUUUCAAGCGGAUGACUCACAAGGAGCUGAAUGGCAGUUGGCGCUGCGUGAGUAGAGUUCCACAUAAUUUUAAUGAAUAAGUGAAACUUAGGCAAAGACAAAACAAAUAAAGAAUAAACGAACCGUGACGACAAUGCAGUGCUAACAUGCAACUAAACAUAAACAAUAUCCCAUAACCCACAGGUGGAAAAAAUACUACUUAAGUAUGAUCCCCAAUUAGAGACGGCGAUAGCCAGCUGCCUCUAAUUGGGAAUCAUACCAAACA